UGACAGGACAGUGAUUAGUCUUCAGGGAGCAAAGGCGAAGACUCUGCCGGCGAGCCUGGGGUUGGAGGAGCUGGCCGGGGGCCCAGUCCGGUGGGCUGGAGCAAUGAUUUCAGAGGCCCGGAAUCUGAGGCGAGGAUCUUCAGUACAAUGUUGAAAAAGAAUGGUGAUGGUGGGCACCCUUGUCUUAUUCUUGAUUUUGUUUCUGUAGAUCAAGAAACCAGAUAUGGUUUAGCUGCAUACCUCUGCCUCAGGGACUCUCACAACCUACAGUCAAGGUGUUGACUUGGGCUACAGUCAUCUCAAAGCUUGACUAAAGAAGGAUCUACUUCCAAGCUCACUCAUGUGGCUGUUGGCAGGGUCCAGUUCCUUGUGGGUUGUUGGAUUAAGACCCUCAAUUCCUCACUGGAUAUUGGCCAGAGGACUUCCUCAGUUCCUUGCCACGUGAACCUCUUCAAAGGGCGGCUCACAACACAGCAACUUAGUUCAUCAAGGCCAGCAAGGGAAAAGCAGAAACUGCCACAAUACAGAAGUGACCUAAUCUUUUUCUAGCCUGAUCCUGGAAGUGGCACCUCAUCACUUUUGCCACAAUCUGGUCAUAAGAUCCAGCCCACAUUCAAGGAAAGGAACUUAAGCAAAAAUGAGAAUUGAAGCAGGUAGGGAUUAUUGUGGGCCAUUUUAGAAGCUGUCUACCACAACUUUUACAGGUGGAUCUGUGACAACCCUUUCAAUUCCUCCUGUGGUUAUUGGUUUUAUAUUACUUCUCAGACAGUUUUGGUAAUUUGUUUUCUUAGCAAGUGAUUUCAUUUAGAUUUUCAAAUUCAUUUGUGAAAUAAAACAGCUUUCUCUGGAGCUGCAGUUUAUUCCUAUUAUUAUUUAUGUCUUCUCCCUCUUUUCCUCUGUCAGAAAGAACAUUCAUUUAUUUCAUUGGUAAUUUCAAAGAACCAAUUUUUUUCAUUU